GAGCGAGCGAGCGGAGCACGUAAAAGUGGGCCUUGCAGGCAUGUCCACCUGGCCUGAUUCUGGCUGGAGCUGACCCAGACAAAAGUGGGGUCUGAAUGCUGACCGCGCAAGAGUGGGCUAGGGACUCGGGGCCCUGCUGAGAAGUUGCAUUGUCCCGGGCCCUUCUUUCACAACAGGGGAAAAGAGGAUGGUGUCUCCUCUCUCUCCGUUGCUUCUGCUCCCAGUCACCUGCACUCUGGACAAUGAUAAAACAUUUGCUUCUCCCAGAGAUGCUGAGUUUGCUACUUUCUGACUCGAGUUUUGAAGAGAUGCUACAAGAAAGGUCAACUUUGGUUCACCACCAUGAGAAAUAGGUGCUGGAGAAGCAGAAUGAUUCUGUGAAUUCAACUGAGCCACUGUGUAUGGUGUCGUGGAAGUCACAGAAAUGCUGUUCAGAGCAGCUGGAGCUGUGACCUGUGCUAACAGAGUCGGGAGAAUCCAAGCGGCCUAAGAGACCCAGGAAAGAGGGGCUAGAUCACGGCGUAUCCUGAUAGUGAGAAAAUUUUACUCAAAUAUUACCAUUUGCAAAAGUCUUGGGAAAAAUAUUUUUUUCUCAUUAUCACUUUUUGUCUUUUAUAUAUUUUUUCUACACACAAGGUAGUAUGUGGCGUGGUGUGGCAUGGCAUGGUCCUCCAAGAAAAACAGUUGCCAUCGUCACCAGAAGCAGCUGUGAGUGCGCAUGAGUGACCCUCAUGUGAGAUCUCUGCUGCAUGAAAUGAUGUACAAGGUCUCAUGGCUUGCAGUGGAGCUGGACAGUGGAGGAAUAAGGGACAGGAGCUCACCUAUCCAGUCAUGGGGAGGUUGCUAUCCAUGUUGGGAUGAGAUCUUUCAGUGCUCUAGAAUUACCAUGCAGUCUCCUGUAAGUAACCCCUUGUCCAUACUCUGUAAGGAAGUUCAGCAAACCCAUUGGUUCCCCAAGGUAAACUUCGGUUGACCCAGACUUUGGAUGGAUGGAGGUGCCUGCCUGGGGAAGCAAGUGUCCAUCCACUUCUCAGGAAAAAGUUGACACAAAACAUGAGUUUGGGGGAGAGUCUUUAUUUUGUCAGUACAACCAACAAUUUAGACUAGCUCUAAUAAUCUUCAAAGAGGUCUCAACAAAUACUUAUGGAGUGAUGAAAUUAACUUAGAAGUGAAUUCUGUAGGUAUGAAAUUGGGAGAUUGUGAAACGUGAUAAGAAGUUAUGAAUGUUUUUUUCUUCAUCUCCUAAUUUAAAGAUAAUAUUGUAACACGCCAAGUAUUGAAAACCUAGUUGGAAGCCUAUGGUGGGGACAUCAGGAAUCCUAGGGGAGUAAUGUCUGCUGUUGUCUGGCUGAAUACAUAUGUUAUGUUCACCAAAAUGUCCAGUAAGCACUUUUCUUAAUGUUCAUACCCAUAUAUUAAUGCUACUCUCACUUUUGGUUAGAGAACCUUCUCUUUUCAGAUAGUAG